rnacentral:hammerhead_ribozyme from 1 species
GUACUACUGAAGAGUCCCAAACUAGGACGAAAAACAGCUGUCCAGUAC